AGGGGGUUAGCUCAAGUGGUAGAGCACUCGUCUCCAAAACGAGAGGCUACGGGUUCGAAUCCUGUACCCCCUGCCU
rnacentral:tRNA from 1 species